rnacentral:rRNA from 1 species
GAUAAACGCUGGCGGCGCACAUAAGACAUGCAAGUCGAACGAAAACCCGUCAAACGGAAACGGAAAAGAAUUAGGAUUUAUUCUAAGGAAAAGAAGAAGAAGGAUGACAAUCGGUUUUAGUGGCGGACUGGUGAGUAACACGUAAGCAACCUACCUAUUAGAGGGGAAUAACAUUGAGAAAUCAGUGCUAAUACCGCAUAACACUAUAUUGUAGCAUUAUAGUAUAGUCAAAGGAGCAAUCCGCUAAUAGAAGGGCUUGCGGCUGAUUAGCUAGUUGGUAAGGUAAGAGCUUACCAAGGCGACGAUCAGUAGCCGGACUGAGAGGUUGAACGGCCACAUUGGGACUGAGAUACGGCCCAGACUCCUACGGGAGGCAGCAGUCGGGAAUAUUGCGCAAUGGAGGGAACUCUGACGCAGUGACGCCGCGUAUAGGAAGAAGGUUUUAGGAUUGUAAACUAUUGUCUACAGGGAAGAAAAGGACGGUACCUGUGGAGGAAGCCCCUGCAAACUACGUGCCAGCCGCCGCCGUAACAC